AUGAACGCUGGCGGCGUGCCUAAUACCUGCAAGUCGAGCGAACGGACGAGAAGCUUGCUUUUCUGAUGUUAGCGGCGGACGGGUGAGUAACACGUGGAUAACCUACCUAUAAGACUGGGAUAACUUCGGGAAACCGGAGCUAAUACCGGAUAAUAUUUUGAACCGCCUGGUUCAAAAGUGAAAGACGGUCUUGCUGUCACUUAUAGCUGGAUCCGCGCUGCAUUAGCUAGUUGGUAAGGUAACGGCUUACCAAGGCAACGAUGCAUAGCCGACCUGAGAGGGUGAUCGGCCACACUGGAACUGAGACACGGUCCAGACUCCUACGGGAGGCAGCAGUAGGGAAUCUUCCGCAAUGGGCGAAAGCCUGACGGAGCAACGCCGCGUGAGUGAUGAAGGUCUUCGGAUCGUAAAACUCUGUUAUUAGGGAAGAACAUAUGUGUAAGUAACUGUGCACAUCUUGACGGUACCUAAUCAGAAAGCCACGGCUAACUACGUG
rnacentral:rRNA from 1 species